GACGAACGCUGGCGGCGUGCCUAAUACAUGCAAGUCGAACGCUUCUUUCCUCCCGAGUGCUUGCACUCAAUUGGAAAGAGGAGUGGCGGACGGGUUAGUAACACGUGGGUAACCUACCCAUCAGAGGGGGAUAACACUUGGAAACAGGUGCUAAUACCGCAUAACAGUUUAUGCCGCAUGGCAUAAGAGUGUGAGGCGCUUUCGGGUGUCGCUGCUGGAUGGACCCGCGGUGCAUUAGCUAGUUGGUGAGGUAACGGCUCACCAAGGCCACGAUGCAUAGCGGACAUGAGGGGGUGAAUGGCAACACGGGGACAGAGACACGUCCCAGACACUGACGGGAGGCAGCAGUAGGGAAUCUUCGGAAAGGGAGCAAAGUCUAACCGAGCAAAGCCGCGGGAAGGAAGAAGGUUUUCGGCUGCGAAAGCGCUGUUGUUAGAGAAGAACAAAGACGUUAGUAACUGAGCGGCUCCUGACGGUAUCUAACCAGAAAGCCACGGCUAACUACGUG
rnacentral:rRNA from 1 species